rnacentral:rRNA from 1 species
UGGGGAAUAUUGCACAAUGGGCGCAAGCCUGAUGCAGCCAUGCCGCGUGUAUGAAGAAGGCCUUCGGGUUGUAAAGUACUUUCAGCGGGGAGGAAGGCGGCAAGGUUAAUAACCUUGCCGAUUGACGUUACCCGCAGAAGAAGCACCGGCUAACUCCGUGCCAGCAGCCGCGGUAAUACGGAGGGUGCAAGCGUUAAUCGGAAUUACUGGGCGUAAAGCGCACGCAGGCGGUCUGUUAAGUCAGAUGUGAAAUCCCCGGGCUUAACCUGGGAACUGCAUUUGAAACUGGCAGGCUUGAGUCUCGUAGAGGGGGGUAGAAUUCCAGGUGUAGCGGUGAAAUGCGUAGAGAUCUGGAGGAAUACCGGUGGCGAAGGCGGCCCCCUGGACGAAGACUGACGCUCAGGUGCGAAAGCGUGGGGAGCAAACAGG